CUGGAAAACAUGCAUCCUGUUUGCUAUAAGGCACUAACGUAAUACUGUAAAACAUGCAUCCUGUUUGCUAUAAGGCACUAAGGUAAUACUGGAAAACAUGCAUCCUGUUUGCUAUAAGGCACUAAGGUAAUACUGUAAAACAUGCAUCCUGUUUGCUAUAAGGCACUAAGGUAAUACUGUAAAACAUGCAUCCUGUUUGCUAUAAGGCACUAAGGUAAUACUGUAAAACAUGCAUCCUGUUUGCUAUAAGGCACUAAGGUAAUACUGUAAAACAUGCAUCCUGUUUGCUAUAAGGCACUAAGGUAAUACUGGAAAACAUGCAUCCUGUUUGCUAUAAGGCACUAAGGUAAUACUGUAAAACAUGCAUCCUGUUUGCUAUAAGGCACUAAGGUAAUACUGUAAAACAUGCAUCCUGUUUGCUAUAAGGCACUAAGGUAAUACUGUAAAACAUGCAUCCUGUUUGCUAUAAGGCACUAAGGUAAUACUGUAAAACAUGCAUCCUGUUUGCUAUAAGGCACUAAGGUAAUACUGUAAAACAUGCAUCCUGUUUGCUAUAAGGCACUAAGGUAAUACUGUAAAACAUGCAUCCUGUUUGCUAUAAGGCACUAAGGUAAUACUGUAAAACAUGCAUCCUGUUUGCUAUAAGGCACUAAGGUAAUACUGUAAAACAUGCAUCCUGUUUGCUAUAAGGCACUAAGGUAAUACUGUAAAACAUGCAUCCUGUUUGCUAUAAGGCACUAAGGUAAUACUGUAAAACAUGCAUCCUGUUUGCUAUAAGGCACUAAGGUAAUACUGGAAAACAUGCAUCCUGUUUGCUAUAAGGCACUAAGGUAAUACUGGAAAACAUGCAUCCUGUUUGCUAUAAGGCACUAAGGUAAUACUGUAAAACAUGCAUCCUGUUUGCUAUAAGGCACUAAGGUAAUACUGGAAAACAUGCAUCCUGUUUGCUAUAAGGCACUAAAGUAAUAUUGGAAAACAUGUAUCCUGUUUGCUAUAAGGCACUAAGGUAAUACUGGAAAACAUGCAUCCUGUUUGCUAUAAGGCACUAAAGUAAUACUGGAAAACAUGUAUCCUGUUUGCUAUAAGGCACUAAAGUAAUACUGGAAAACAUGUAUCCUGUUUGCUAUAAGGCACUAAAGUAAUACUGUAAAACAUGUAUCCUGUUUGCUAUAAGGCACUAAAGUAAUAUUGGAAAACAUGUAUCCUGUUUGCUAUAAGGCACUAAGGUAAUACUGUAAAACAUGUAUCCUGUUUGCUAUAAGGCACUAAAGUAAUAUUGGAAAACAUGCAUCCUGAUUGCUAUAAGGCACUAAGGUAAUACUGGAAAACAUGUAUCCUGUUUGCUAUAAGGCACUAAAGUAAUACUGUAAAACAUGUAUCCUGUUUGCUAUAAGG